rnacentral:lncRNA from 1 species
GACAGAUGCGACUAUAGCGUGCCUUCCCUACUUCGACUCCCUCGCCCCUCCACUGCCGCACAAACAACCCUUCAACACGUCACCUUCCUUUAAACUAACCUUAGCUCUGACAUCACCCUUGCCGCCACCUCCCUUCCAACACCACCACUGUCCAGAUCUGGUGUUGCCUUCAUUUUUUGAUUUUGCAAAUCCUUUUUUUUUUCUUUUCAAAAGUUUUUUCUAAUGGCAGAUCUGGUCUCAGAAUCUUAUUUGUAAUUUUUUUUAUUUUCGUUUAACUUUUUGUUGCUUGCUUCCUUACUCUAUACUCAAAUUCGGCACUGUUAUUUUUUUGAUUUCCUUACUCGGUCGGACGACAUGGUGGUGGUGGCGUGGCGUGGUUGGUGGCGGCGGCGGCGGUUUCCGUUGGAAUAAGAGAAGGAGGGGAG